rnacentral:rRNA from 1 species
UGUUAUCACGGGAGACACACGGCGGGUGCUAACGUCCGUCGUGAAGAGGGAAACAACCCAGACCGCCAGCUAAGGUCCCAAAGUCAUGGUUAAGUGGGAAACGAUGUGGGAAGGCCCAGACAGCCAGGAUGUUGGCUUAGAAGCAGCCAUCAUUUAAAGAAAGCGUAAUAGCUCACUGGUCGAGUCGGCCUGCGCGGAAGAUGUAACGGGGCUAAACCAUGCACCGAAGCUGCGGCAGCGAACGUAUCACUUAAAGCGAUUCAGCGGGUUACGAUUGACGGAGCGAAGCGACGUCAAAGCGUAUACAAAGUCGAGUCGGUUUAAGGAUACGUUCGUUGGGUAGGGGAGCGUUCUGUAAGCCCGUGAAGGUGGCCUGUGAGGGUUGCUGGAGGUAUCAGAAGUGCGAAUGCUGACAUAAGUAACGAUAAAGCGGGUGAAAAGCCCGCUCGCCGGAAGACCAAGGGUUCCUGUCCAACGUUAAUCGGGGCAGGGUGAGUCGACCCCUAAGGCGAGGCCGAAAGGCGUAGUCGAUGGGAAACGGGUUAAUAUUCCCGUACUUGGUGUUACUGCGAAGGGGGGACGGAGAAGGCUAUGUUGGCCGGGCGACGGUUGUCCCGGUUUAAGCGUGUAGGUGUGUGUUCCAGGUAAAUCCGGUUCACUUUAACACUGAGGCGUGAUGACGAGGCACUACGGUGCUGAAGCAACAAAUGCCCUGCUUCCAGGAAAAGCCUCUAAGCAUCAGGUAACAUCAAAUCGUACCCCAAACCGACACAGGUGGUCAGGUAGAGAAUACCAAGGCGCUUGAGAGAACUCGGGUGAAGGAACUAGGCAAAAUGGUGCCGUAACUUCGGGAGAAGGCACGCUGACACGUAGGUGAAGUGAUUUACUCACGGAGCUGAAGUCAGUCGAAGAUACCAGCUGGCUGCAACUGUUUAUUAAAAACACAGCACUGUGCAAACACGAAAGUGGACGUAUACGGUGUGACGCCUGCCCGGUGCCGGAAGGUUAAUUGAUGGGGUCAGCGCAAGCGAAGCUCCUGAUCGAAGCCCCGGUAAACGGCGGCCGUAACUAUAACGGUCCUAAGGUAGCGAAAUUCCUUGUCGGGUAAGUUCCGACCUGCACGAAUGGCGUAAUGAUGGCCAGGCUGUCUC